rnacentral:rRNA from 1 species
GGGUGCGAUCAUACCAGCACUAAUGCACCGGAUCCCAUCAGAACUCCGAAGUUAAAUUUGCUUGGGCGAGAGUAGUACUAAGAUGGGUGACCUCUUGGGAAGUCCUCGUGUUGCACCCC